CAGCCAGGCACCCCAAGUCUUCUAAAACCCUAGUGAUGAUUCUGGUUUUCAUCCUGGUCUUGCCACGGAACUAGUCAUGUGACUGCGGCAGGCCAAGAGCACACGCUCCCAUCCCCCCACGAGUCAGAACCUGCUGCAAGAGGUGAGAGGUAUGGUGGGCUGAGAGCCUCCAGCCCUCACCCCUUCUGGGUCCACCAUGGUAUUCAAGCCAAGGCCACAGUCUCCCAGGGUAGCUGCAAGCCAGGCACAGAGCAAUGGCCAAGGUGCACCAUCCACAUUCCUGUCCCAACUGGGUCUCUUCCGAGGAGACACUCCAGCCUGGCCGAAAACCUUCUGGACCUUUCUCUGGGUCUCUUCCCAUCAAUCCUGCCUUCCUGCGUUGCGGUUAGAGGCGCUCCCACUUAACCGUGUUUCCACUUUCCUUUAUACUCCCUGCGUACAUCUCUUACAUUUCUAACUCUGUCUUUGCUUUGCACUUCCCAGAAAGCUUGAAAUAACACAAAAGGUACCAGCAGUGAUUCCAGAAAGCUGGCAAUCAGAUGGGGUUUUGAGACUGGCUUAUUCACCAUGGCUGGCGAGGAGGAUCACAAUCCAAGUGUUCUGUACCAGGGCCAUGUUAGCUCGCCCACCUCCUGUCUUAAUAUAGUCCGGAGAGAUCUGGACCAUCUGGACAACCUGAAGAACUUCACAUUGAUCCGUCACAUCGAUCAGAUGAAGACACGGCUAGUGGGCUGGAGACCUUGGUAAGAAACACGUGUGCCGGAAGCUGGAAGACAAACUCUGUAAAGAUUCAGGGACAGACCACUUCAGUAAAGCUUUCGGGCAUCCUAAAAGGUAGGGCUGAAAAGAAGGAGGUACACAUUUUUAAGGCCAGGGAUAUGUCAGGCAGUCCCCUCCCCAGUAAAGGCAUUUUGCUACAUCCUGCGUUCCCUACUGUGAAAUGAAAAGUACAAUGCCACCUCUUGCACAUGUAGGGAUCCUGUCCCAGUGCGUACCCCGGAGGACAUGGAAGGAUGCCAGCCCUAGGUGGGGCCUUGAUCGGGAAAGAACUGCACAGCAGGUCCAGGCUGUAGUGAAGGCAGAUUUCCCACUUAGACCAGAACAUCUGGCAGACCCUGUGGUGUGGAGGUGUCAGUGGUGAGAAAAAAAUGCAGCGUAGAAUUCAUAGUAACCCGAUUAGGAAGAUCCCACCACAGGACCUUGGUGUUCUGGCCCAGGAUCAUGCCAUGUGUAAUGGAGAAUUACACACAUCUCAAAAAAGAGCUCCUGGCAUGUUCCUGAGCCCUAACAAAGAUAGAAUACUUGACUAUAGCAUAGCAUUGACCAUCCGUCCAGAUCUAUUCAUUAAGAGCCGAGUUCUGUCUUGCCUGUCAAUUCACAAAGCCAGAUGGGCCCGGCCAUGUAGGACAGAAAUGGUGCAUCAGGAACUGGGCCCGAGUAAGACCAGAGGACACAAGUUAGCUGCAUGGUCAGGGAGCACAGACCUCCAAAUCACCCACAUGAUGGUACCGGCUCCCUUCCCCAAGCUCUCAUCCAUGAUCUGAUAAUAAGGUGUCAUACAGACAGCCGAAGGAGCAGGAGAAAGCCCAAGCGUGGAUGACAGAUGACUGGGCUCAGUCUGUGGGGGAGAAACUGAAACCCGACAACAGCAUUACAUUCUCAUCCGGGCCGAAAGACAGUGGGGAGGGAAAAUCGUUUUAGAGGGCAGGCAGUGCUGCUUGUCAUCCGCUUUAUGGAGAGGGAAAGUGGCCCAAGAUGAGAACAUAUAGAGAUUCCUAAUCAUUGGGCAGUGGCCCAACCAGCUGGUCAGAGCCUGGAGGGAAAAGGAUGAUGGGAAAUAAAAACCAUCCACAGGGUAAAGGCGUGUGGAUGAGACCUAUGGGAAUGGACACAAGAUGUCAACACUUCACGUUAAUACCAGUCCAAAGGCAUCCGCCCUGAACACUGGACGACUAGGUUGACAAGAUGACUCAACCAGUUGACAGCAGUUCUCAGCCCUGGGUACUCUAGAACAUGAUGGGUACAUGAAUGGCGUGGUCAUAAUGUCAGAGACAGAGGCUACACAUGGGCCCAACGGCAUAACUUCCACUUACCAACGCCAACCUAAUUACUUCCUCUGAAUGUCGAAACUGCCAGCCACAGAACCAGUGCUGAGCCCCUGACAUGGCUUUAUUGCCCAAAGAGACCAACAGCUACCAUCCACCCACAGUUGAUGACACUGGGCUCCUUUCAAUCCGGAAUGACCAGCAGUUUCUCUCCCUAGGAACGGAGUCCUAUUCCAAGUAUGGGCUGGCCUUUCCUGCCCACGGAGCCUCUGUCGGCAUCACCGUCUAAAAGCUUAUGAAGUGCUUGAUCCAUAGGCACAGAACCCUACAUAACAGUAUGUGAGCGGGGGGAUAUAAUUUCAGUCAAAAAAGGUCACGUGAUCCACAGGUCAUAUUCCACGCUGUACCACCCAGAGGCAGUCAGCCUGAUAGAGUAUUGCAAUGGCCUGCUGACAGGGCAGCUGGAGCACCCCCUAAGAGGCCAUCAUCUACAAACAUGGGGAGCUCUCCUCCAGAGUGUAGAAUAAGUCCAAACCCAAGAGCCCUAUAUGAUGCUGUAAGAAGAAUGCAGGGGUCUAGGAACUAAGGGGUAGAAGCAAGCACGGCCCCACUUCUCCUUCUCAAUGAAACUUGGGGCAAUUUGUGCUUCCUGCCCCCCAAGACUUUGGGCUCUGUAGGGUUAGUGGUCCUUGUCCCCAGAGAGAAUGCGUUCUUGCCAGGGGACAGAGCAAGAGUUCCGUUGAGCUGGAUAGAAUGGAUUCCUUGUGUCCAGGACCAAUGGUGAGAAAAGGAGUCACCAUCCCGGCGGGGGCUAUUACUUCUGAUCAUCAGGUGGAGGGGCUAGCUGACGGCCUCCAGAGGCCGCAACGUCAGGCUCCAGCACAGCAUUCAUGUUGAGGCCAUUCUGUCCCUGGGUUGCCCAAACAAUGAGCACAGAGAGGGUACUGGAGCUGGGCCAUGCCUACACAUCUCGGUCUCCUUUAAUGGGCAGGCUUGGCUCGGGAGCCCUGUGUUGGCCUGGACUUCCUCAGAGCUCCACUACAGUCCGAACGUCGUCCACCACAUCCUCUCCCUUCCGUGUCUCCCUUCCCAGGUAUCAGGUCAGCACCAUGGUCUCAGCCUCCUCCCACUCAUUGCUCGGUCUUCUCUCUCUUCUCGCCCCUCAUCGGCUUGUCUGCCAAUACGUUUCUUGGCCUCCUAAUUGUAUCUUGGCAUCUGCUUCCUGGAGAUCUCAAGCAGACGCAAUGGGUUGAGGCUAGUUGGUUCAUUUUUUUUUUUUUUCCUUUCUUUUCAAGGGAGGAGGAAAUCGGGGUGGCUAGAAGGAGGGCAUCACGGUAACGCCUGACGUGUACUUCCCAUCGUUUUUAAAAGUUAAAUGAGAAUAAUGGGAAAAUGUAGAAUUACUAAUAUGCUUGGUUAUCAAGUCUUUUUUGCUCACAAAUCCAGGAAAUUGGAGGUUAAAACCGGUCACUGCUUUCCAAAGGGAACACCUCUUAUCGAGCCUGUAAAGAAAAUUUAAACAAAAGUUAAACAAAAACUUAAAAACGUGUGAAGUGUUCUCAUUCUAGCUAAAACCUGAAACUGGUACCCAUCGCUUGAGGAGUUUUGGUUUAUAAAACCAUAGUGCAUUGUAAGUGUUCUACAUAUAAAUGGUAACUCGUGGGCUUUAUGUGAUAUUAAUUAGUCUUGGUUUUCAUGUCUCCAUCACCUGCUGACAGGAUCUUUCAUUCAAAGCGAUACUUUAUACUACGGUCAGAUAAACUUUUAUUUUGCUCAUGUCAUUUUCGUGCUGCCCUUAAGCGUGUAACCAAAGAAAGCAAAUUAGGACAAAAUCGGUUUUGUGCUUCUAAGAUAGCAACCAGGACAUUAGGAGUGCACGAUUAAUGUUUGGACUAUAUUAGUGUACUUUUAAGCAAAUCUGUGGUAUUGAAAAACAUAAUCCACCCUACUCAGAAGCAGUUCUUUUUUACUAAAGGAAAAUGUGUUGGCAACUGUUCCGUUUCCAUGGAUUUGUGAUUCUAAUAGGCCCUGAAAAUAAAACUCGAUCUUUGCCAAAAUCUCA